rnacentral:rRNA from 1 species
AUUGAACGCUGGCGGCAGGCUUAACACAUGCAAGUCGAGCGGGGUGAUGGUGCUUGCACUAUCACUUAGCGGCGGACGGGUGAGUAAUGCUUAGGAAUCUGCCUAGUCGUGGGGGCAAACAUCUCGAAAGGGAUGCUAAUACCGCAUACGUCCUACGGGAGAAAGCAGGGGAUCUCUUGUGACCUUGCGCUAAUAGAUGAGCAUAAGUCGGAUUAGCUAGUUGGUGGGGUAAAGGCCUACCAAGGCGACGAUCUGUAGGGGGUCUGAGAGGAUGAUCCGCCACACUGGGACUGGGACACGGCCCAGACUCCUACGGGAGGCAGCAGUGGGGAAUAUUGGACAAUGGGGGGAACCCUGAUCCAGCCAUGCCGCGUGUGUGAAGAAGGCCUUAUGGUUGUAAAGCACUUUAAGCGAGGAGGAGGCUCUUUUGGUUAAUACCCAAGAUGAGUGGACGUUACUCGCAGAAUAAGCACCGGCUAACUCUGUGCCAGCCGCCGCGGUAA